ensembl:lncRNA
GGGGCCCUUACGGCCACCAAGUUCAUCCCCUUGCCUCUGAGCAUCACCACUCCUAAGUAAUUCCAAGAAGAUGAGAUGAAGGGCCAAUCUGGUGAAAAUCAGUACCCUUUAUACUUUCUGCAGUGUUCACAUUUUGUGUGAUUCUCAGUGGAGGGAAAAAAGAAAGUGACAGAAUGGAAGAUAUGCCUGAGUUCCCUGAAGAACAAUGAGAGGCUUCACAGAACUCAGUUUGGAAGAUGACACACGUGUUGUAGUUACAGAGUGAUAUUCCCGUGACACUUGUAAGUGGGAAGUGAAUUGGACACCAGAUAAGCAGCAUAAAGCUCCUGUAGAAGGCAAAGACCUUUCCUCGUCUGAUUACUGCCACCACGAAAUAGAUUGAAAAAAAAAAUCAUUUUAUAUCAACCAGUAGCAUCCCAAUCCACGGAGGGGUGUCUCCUAAAGCUAUCAAGAUAGUAUCAGAGUCUUAAUCAUUUCUGGAAUAGUGAGAGCCCCAGAACCAACCAGCACCCACAAAGGCUGCAACCCCAGGGCCAACUGCCGUCAGCCGGGACAGACACCCGCUUGGGAUUCAAUCUCUGAACUCUGUGACCCAGAGCAUGUGCCGGCGGGCUCCUGCUAUUCACCCAGGCACGGUGGCAGAGUGGGCUCUGACCUCCUGGAGCUAGAGAAUCACAAAGCCCUGGUCAUUGCUGUUGAGAGGGCUGGGAACAGCAUGGGACUGCUGCAAACACACCCACACACAUACGAACGUGCACUAAAUACCCGUAAUCAAAUGCUCCUCAUGGUGGACACACGCUUAGCUAGCGCGUGCAGCCUGGCCCCAUGCGAAGCUGUGCAACAUCGUGGGAAGCACCACAGCUUCAGAAGGAGACUGGAUUCAACAUUCAGCCAUCAAUUUUUUCUCUAAACCUCUGUUUUCUCCUCAAUAAAAUGGGGAUAAUAAUAGCACCCCCCUCAGGGGAUUUUAUAAGAAUUCAAUGAAGCCAUAUGUAAAACUCUCUAGCCCAGUGUCUUGCAUAGGAAAAAAAAAUUCCAUUGAUGUUAGCUGUUAUUAUCAAUAAUAAAAAUUGAAGUCUACAAGUAGG